AUACUUAGCCGGGAAGGGUGACACCAGGAUGAAGCGGGUGACUUUCACAGAGCAAGGCCUACCCCCUACCCGUUACACUGAGGGUGUGCCGACCCCUGCGUGCCCCCCAAAUGCAGGGAAACUCGACGACAUAAUUCGUGAUAGUGGGGGACUGCGUCUGAUCUCUCUCCUU
ensembl:snRNA U1 U1 spliceosomal RNA